rnacentral:rRNA from 1 species
UAGGGAAUAUUGGGCAAUGGGCGAAAGCCUGACCCAGCAACGCCGCGUGUGUGAUGAAGGCCUUCGGUCGUAAAGCACUUUCUGGGAGAUGAGAAAGGACAGUAUCCCAGGAAUAAGUCUCGGCGUAACUACGUGCCAGCAGCCGCGGUAAAGCGUAGGAGGCGAGCGUUAUCCGGAUUCACUGGGCGUAAAGCGCGUGCAGGUGGCGCGGUAAGUUGGGCGUGAAAUCUCCCGGCUCAACUGGGAGAGGUCGUCCAAUACUACCGUGCUUGAGAGCAGAAGAGGAAGAUGGAAUUCCCGGUGUAGUGGUGAAAUGCGUAGAUAUCGGGAGGAACACCAGUGGCGAAGGCGAUCUUCUGGUCUGUUUCUGUACGACUCAGACGCGACAGCUAGGGUAGUAAACGGGAUUAGAGACCCCGGUAAUCCUAGCCGUAAACGAUGUGAACUUGGCGUUGGUGGGUUAAACUCCAUCAGUGCCGUAGCAAACGCGAUAAGUUCA